rnacentral:rRNA from 1 species
UGGGACGACGUCAAGUCAGCAUGACCUUUAUAUCCAGGGCUACACACACGCUACAAUGGUCAGUACAAUGGGUUGCCAAGCCGCGAGGCGGAGCCAAUCCUAAAAAGCUGGCCUCAGUUCAGAUUGCAGUCUGAAACUCGACUGCAUGAAGUCGGAGUUGCUAGUAAACGCAGGUCAGCUAUACUGCGUUGAAUACGUUCCCGGGGCUU